rnacentral:rRNA from 1 species
UGGAUCCAGACUUUGACUGGCUCAGGAUGAACGCUAGCUACAGGCUUAGCACAUGCAAGUCGAGGGGCAUCGGGAAGAAAGCUUGCUUUCUUUGCCGGCGACCGGCGCACGGGUGAGUAACACGUAUCCAACCUGCCCUUUACUCGGGGAUAGCCUUUCGAAAGAAAGAUUAAUACCCGAUAGUAUAAUGAUUCCGCAUGGUUUCGUUAUUAAAGGAUUCCGGUAAAGGAUGGGGAUGCGUUCCAUUAGGUUGUUGGUGAGGUAACGGCCCACCAAGCCUUCGAUGGAUAGGGGUUCUGAGAGGAAGGUCCCCCACAUUGGAACUGAGACACGGUCCAAACUCCUACGGGAGGCAGCAGUGAGGAAUAUUGGUCAAUGGGCGCUAGCCUGAACCAGCCAAGUAGCGUGAAGGAUGAAGGCUCUAUGGGUCGUAAACUUCUUUUAUAUAAGAAUAAAGUGCAGUAUGUAUACUGUUUUGUAUGUAUUAUAUGAAUAAGGAUCGGCUAACUCCGUGCCAGCAGCCGCGGUAAUACGGAGGAUCCGAGCGUUAUCCGGAUUUAUUGGGUUUAAAGGGAGCGUAGGUGGACUGGUAAGUCAGUUGUGAAAGUUUGCGGCUCAACCGUAAAAUUGCAGUUGAUACUGUCAGUCUUGAGUACAGUAGAGGUGGGCGGAAUUCGUGGUGUAGCGGUGAAAUGCUUAGAUAUCACGAAGAACUCCGAUUGCGAAGGCAGCUCACUGGACUGCAACUGACACUGAUGCUCGAAAGUGUGGGUAUCAAACAGGAUUAGAUACCCUGGUAGUCCACACAGUAAACGAUGAAUACUCGCUGUUUGCGAUAUACAGUAAGCGGCCAAGCGAAAGCAUUUAGUA